AACGUAGGGGGCAAGCGUUAUCCGGAGUUACUGGGCGUAAAGCGCGUGUAGGCGGCUCGGUAAGUGGGUCGUGAAAGCGCCCGGCUAAACUGGGCGAGGACGAUCGAGACUGCCAGGCUAGAGGGUGGUAGAGGGACAGGGAAUUCCGGGUGUAGCGGUGAAAUGUGUAGAGAUCCGGAGGAACACCAGUGGCGAAGGCGCUGUCCUGGGCCACCUCUGACGCUGAGACGCGAAGGCGUGGGGAGCGAACGGG
rnacentral:rRNA from 1 species